rfam:Heligmosomoides polygyrus genome assembly, scaffold: HPBE_scaffold0001806
GCGGUGGUGGUGAAAGGCGAGCAUCGCUGCCCGGAAAGCAGAAGAUGCGGGUUCGAGUCCCGCCUGGCGCA